rnacentral:tRNA from 1 species
GAGGGUAUAGCUCAGUGGUAGAGUGUCUGCUUAGCAUGCAUGAAGUCCUGGGUUUGAUCCCCAGUACCUCCA